rnacentral:rRNA from 1 species
UACGUAGGGAGCAAGCGUUGUUCGGAUUUACUGGGCGUAAAGGGCGCGUAGGCGGCAAUUCAAGUCAUCUGUGAAAUCUCCGGGCUUAACUCGGAACGGUCAGAUGAUACUGUUUUGCUAGAGUGCAGAAGGGGCAAUCGGAAUUCUUGGUGUAGCGGUGAAAUGCGUAGAUAUCAAGAGGAACACCUGAGGUGAAGACGGGUUGCUGGGCUGACACUGACGGCUGAGGCGCGGAAAGCCCAGGGGAGCAAACGGG